AAGUCCCAUCACAAAAGUGUAUUGUAUGCAAUCUUAUCUUGCAUUUCUGCUAGACAUUGUUUUCAAUGCUUAAACCCCAUGACCUCCUGAUCACAUGACAGCAACUUUACCAGUUACUCCAAGGUGCCCUUCAAGAAUAUGUGAGGAACAUGACUAGGAUGUUGAUUGGUUCUAAGAUGACUCCAUCAAAUCAUGAUAGUUACAAUAGUACGGAGUUUAACACUUUGAUUUCCACUAAGGUGGUGGAUAACUAUCAUGUUAGCCAGCCAAUGCCGUCUACGUCUUCUUGCACGAAAUCCGCCUUUGUUUGGAUAAGACGUUGAAGACGUUCAUUUCUUGCCCGCAAAGUGCAGAUACAAGACGACGUUGUGGUGGACCUAAUAAGGAGAACAAACUCAUCAUUCCCACCAAGGUAAAUUAGUAGCCGCUUGGUCAUGAGUAAUUUUUUACUUUUUUUUGAAAAUUAUUUCACUAUAAUGAAAAGUAAAAACUGUGGUGUUUAUUCAUUAGAAUUUCAAAUAUAAUUCCGAAAUUGUAUUUUGGAAAAGUGAAAACAAGUU
rnacentral:lncRNA from 1 species